rnacentral:rRNA from 1 species
AGAACGAACGCUGGCGGCAGGCCUAAUACAUGCAAGUCGAACGCACUCUUCGGAGUGAGUGGCAGACGGGUGAGUAACGCGUGGGAACCUUCCCAAUGGUACGGAAUAACUCCGGGAAACCGGUGCUAAUACCGUAUAAGCCCCUCGGGGGAAAGAUUUAUCGCCAUUGGAUGGGCCCGCGUCGGAUUAGCUAGUUGGUAAGGUAAUGGCUUACCAAGGCUACGAUCCGUAGCUGGUCUGAGAGGAUGAUCAGCCACACUGGGACUGAGACACGGCCCAGACUCCUACGGGAGGCAGCAGUAGGGAAUCUUGGACAAUGGGCGAAAGCCUGAUCCAGCCAUGCCGCGUGAGUGAAGAAGGCCUUAGGGUUGUAAAGCUCGUUUUGGCGGGGACGAUAAUGACGGUACCCGCAGAAUAAGCCCGGCUAACUUCGUGCCAGCAGCCGC